rnacentral:rRNA from 1 species
UACGGAGGAUGCGAGCGUUAUCCGGAUUUAUUGGGUUUAAAGGGUGCGCAGGCGGCACGGCAAGCCGGCGGUCAAAUCGCGGGGCUCAACCCCGCCCAGCCGUCAGAACUGCCGGGCUAGAGUGGGCGAGAAGUGCGCGGAAUGCGUGGUGUAGCGGUGAAAUGCAUAGAUAUCACGCAGAACUCCGAUUGCGAAGGCAGCGCACCGGCGCCCUACUGACGCUCAGGCACGAAAGCGUGGGUAUCGAACAGG